rnacentral:rRNA from 1 species
UGAGGAAUAUUGGUCAAUGGGCGAGAGCCUGAACCAGCCAAGUAGCGUGAAGGAUGACUGCCCUAUGGGUUGUAAACUUCUUUUAUAAGGGAAUAAAGUCGGGUAUGUAUACCCGUUUGCAUGUACUUUAUGAAUAAGGAUCGGCUAACUCCGUGCCAGCAGCCGCGGUAAUACGGAGGAUCCGAGCGUUAUCCGGAUUUAUUGGGUUUAAAGGGUGCGUAGGCGGUCCGGAAAGUCAGCGGUAAAAGCCCGGGGCUCAACCCCGGCGAGCCGUUGAUACUGGAUAUCUUGAGUGCAGUUGAGGCAGGCGGAAUUCGUGGUGUAGCGGUGAAAUGCUUAGAUAUCACGAAGAACUCCGAUUGCGAAGGCAGCUCACUAGACUGCAACUGACACUGAUGCUCGAAAGUGUGGGUAUCAAACAGG